AACAAGGUUUCCGUAGGUGAACCUGCGGAAGGAUCAUUAACGAGUUUUGAAAGGGGUUGUAGCUGGCCUUCCGAGGCAUGUGCACGCCCUGCUCAUUCCACUCUACACCUGUGCACUUACUGUGGGUCUCAGGCGAGCGUCGGUCGCUUCACGGCGUCGUCGUUCAACUGGGCUCACGUUUUACUACAAACCAUUAAAGUAUCAGAAUGUCUAUUGCGAAUUAACGCAUUUAUAUACAACUUUCAGCAACGGAUCUCUUGGCUCUCGCAUCGAUGAAGAACGCAGCGAAAUGCGAUAAGUAAUGUGAAUUGCAGAAUUCAGUGAAUCAUCGAAUCUUUGAACGCACCUUGCGCUCCUUGGUAUUCCGAGGAGCAUGCCUGUUUGAGUGUCAUGAAAUUCUCAACCUAACGAGUCUUUGCGGGCUCGGUAGGCUUGGACUUGGAGGUUCUUGUCGGCCUAACGGUCGGCUCCUCUUAAAUGCAUUAGCUCGGUUCCUUGCGGAUCGGCUCACGGUGUGAUAAUUGUCUACGCCGCGACCGUUGAAGCGUUUUGGCCGGCUUCUAAUCGUCUCGUUGGAGACACUACUCUUUAUGACCUUCUGACCUCAAAUCAGGUAGGACUACCCGCUGAACUUAAGCAUAUCA
rnacentral:rRNA from 1 species